CCUACGGGAGGCAGCAGUGAGGAAUAUUGGUCAAUGGACGAGAGUCUGAACCAGCCAAGUAGCGUGAAGGAUGACUGCCCUAUGGGUUGUAAACUUCUUUUAUAUGGGAAUAAAAUGUUCCACGUGUGGGAUUUUGUAUGUACCAUAUGAAUAAGGAUCGGCUAACUCCGUGCCAGCAGCCGCGGUAAUACGGAGGAUCCGAGCGUUAUCCGGAUUUCUUGGGUUUAAAGGGAGCGUAGGUGGAUUGUUAAGUCAGUUGUGAAAGUUUGCGGCUCAACCGUAAAAUUGCAGUUGAAACUGGCAGUCUUGAGUACAGUAGAGGUGGGCGGAAUUCGUGGUGUAGCGGUGAAAUGCUUAGAUAUCACGAAGAACUCCGAUUGCGAAGGCAGCUCACUGGACUGCAACUGACACUGAGGCUCGAAAGUGUGGGUAUCAAACAGGAUUAGAGACCCGGGUAGUC
rnacentral:rRNA from 1 species